rnacentral:rRNA from 1 species
AGUGAAGAGGAAAGAGCUCAAAGUUGGAAACUGUUUGGCUUAGCUAAACCGUAUUGUAAACUGUAGAAACAUUUUCCUGGCACACCAGAUUAAUAAGUCCUUUGGAACAAGGCAUCAUGGAGGGUGAGAAUCCCGUCUUUGAUCUGAGUAGUUGUCUUUUGUGAUAUGUUUUCAAAGAGUCAGGUUGUUUGGGAAUGCAGCCUAAAUUGGGUGGUAAAUCUCACCUAAAGCUAAAUAUUUGCGAGAGACCGAUAGCGAACAAGUACCGUGAGGGAAAGAUGAAAAGAACUUUGAAAAGAGAGUUAAACAGUAUGUGAAAUUGUUAAAAGGGAACCGUUUGGAGCCAGACUGGUUUGACUGUAAUCAACCUAGAAUUCGUUUUGGGUGCACUUGCAGUCUAUACCUGCCAACAACAGUUUGAUUUGGAGGAAAAAAUUAGUAGGAAUGUGGCCUCUCGAGGUGUUAUAGCCUACUAUCAUACUCUGGAUUGGACUGAGGAACGCAGCGAAUGCCUUUAGGCGAGAUUGCUGGGUGCUUUCGCUAAUAAAUGUUAGAAUUUCUGCUUCGGGUGGUGCU